rnacentral:rRNA from 1 species
AUUGAACGCUGGCGGCAGGCCUAACACAUGCAAGUCGAGCGAGCGGCGGACGGGUGAGUAAUGUCUGGGGAUCUGCCUGAUGGAGGGGGAUAACUACUGGAAACGGUGGCUAAUACCGCAUACUAUCGGCUGAGCCCAUAUGGGAUUAGCUAGUAGGUGGGGUAAAGGCUCACCUAGGCGACGAUCCCUAGCUGGUCUGAGAGGAUGAACAGCCACACUGGAACUGAGACACGGCCCAGACUCCUACGGGAGGCAGCAGUGGGGAAUAUUGCACAAUGGGCGCAAGCCUGAUGCAGCCAUGCCGCGUGUAUGAAGAAGGCCUUAGGGUUGUAAAGUACUUUCAGCGGGGAGGCGUUACCCGCAGAAGAAGCACCGGCUAACUCCGUGCCAGCAGCCGCGGUAAUAC